AGAGUUUGAUCAUGGCUCGAGGACGAACGCUGGCGGCGUGCUUAACACAUGCAAGUCGAACGGAACUUUUAGUUUAGUGGCAAACGGGUGAGUAACGCGUAGGUAAUCUGCCGCAAAGUUGGGGACAACAGUUCGAAAGGGCUGCUAAUACCGAAUGUUAUAAGUUAUUCGCAUGAAUUACUUAUUAAAGAUUUAUCGCUUUGCGAGGAGCCUGCGUCCGAUUAGGCAGUUGGUAAGGUAACGGCUUACCAAACCGACGAUCGGUAACCGGUCUGAGAGGAUGAACGGUCACAUUGGAACUGAGACACGGUCCAGACUCC
rnacentral:rRNA from 1 species